rnacentral:misc_RNA from 1 species
UUUCCGUAGGUGAACCUGCGGAAGGAUCAUUAGUGAAUUGAAUAUGUUAGCGGACCUCUUCGGAGUCCCUAGCAUCAAAUCAUAUCCAUAACACCUGUGAACUGUAAGGCUGUCUUGAAAACGAAAGUGUUAGAGCGCCUGCCCAUUUUAUACAAACAUUAAAGUAACAAACGUAGUCUUAUUAUAAUCUAAUAAAACUUUCAACAACGGAUCUCUUGGCUCUC